rnacentral:lncRNA from 1 species
AAAAUUACAGGUGCUGCUAAUGCACUGGGGCAUGUUGCCUAGAUUCAUAAAUGAAUAAAAUGUUAGAUUUCAGUUACAGGUUAAUGAAAAUGAUGUCAGUAUUUCCCUAUUCAGGUUCACAGACUCUCUUCCCUAAGGAAAAAGAAGAGGGACUUUACCCACAGACACCCUUGGUCAAGAAGCCUCAGGUGAGCAGAAUAAAUAGGAGGAGUGUGGGUGGUGAAGGACAGUGAGGGAGUCACAGGGUGACUUACUAACAAGGUCAGAAGGAAGGGUUUGUGUGAGAGCAGUCUGGGAGGCCAGUCACCCACUUUGGACCUUAAGGAGCCCAUACAGAACUUGACAUGGCCACCAGGGGGCGCCAACUCCCCCAAACAGUCUUCACAGUCAUUUUAAAAAUUUGAAUUCCGUCUUACAGGAUCUGAACUCACCCUUUGAUCACAGUGUCCCCAAUUCCUACAGCCUGGGUCAACCUCAUGGUCAUCUCUUCCCCAGGCCCUGAAGGCAACUGAUUUUGCAACUUUGCCACCCAGCCUGGGCAAGAGCCAUGUUCUUGCAACACUGAAGCCCCCAGUGUUUAACCUGAUUAAAACAAAGGUCAGUAAGAGUCUCUGAGUUCUCUGCGGGAACCAGGCUCUCUUCAAUGUGAGGAGCCCCAGGCACUCCAGGCCCUGGUCCACCCUUCCUUGGAGCCAGGAUUCCCCAGGGCCCCUUCUGAGCCAGCGCCUAUGUGACAUCUCUUUUCUGGUCCAGGCAUUUCCAGGCCUGCGGCACACCACAGGCAGCGUUUGGGGGUGGCUGGUGAGUUUCGAGGCGGCCUUUGUAUUUGGGUAUGAAGCAGUGUGGCGAGCCUGUCGGGUGAUGUCAGAGCUGGCACCAAAGGAGAACAACUUUGUUGACAAGAAGAUUAAUUAGACAAAUGCAGUGCCCAUCAGUUAUGGCCACCACCCCCUCGGGGGUCAGCUCUAGUGGAGCCUUUGCUAGAGACUCAUUUCAUCUUUUUAAAAGAAAGCUUAAUCUCCUAACAAGACAGGCAAAAACCAAUUCAUGGUGUGCCAGAAAAGCAAGCACCAACAAGCCGCGAGGUUCCUGCAAACUGCCAGACCGCAGGGCUCAGGCUGGCCCAGCCUGGGAGCCGGCAGGGCCCCUUCCUUCUACCUGUCCAGACCAGGCUCCAGGAAGUAUGUGGAGCCCCGCAGCCUCCCAAGUGAGGAGGACGCCCUGGCUGUGAGCUCUCUGCCUUCUGCUGUUUUUCUGCCUUUCACAGGAAAGACAGAGAGGGGUGGGCGGCCAGCCUGCAGGGUCUCAGAGGUUGGAGGCUCCUGCCCCCUACACCUCCCUGAAUUGCAAAGGCCCUCUUUCUCCAACAGGAGCCUGCCUGGUGUCCCGUUAUGGAAGAGACAGUGAAUUCCUAGUGGGAGUAGCCUCAUUUAGUAUUCAACAAAUAUUCAUUGAGCACGUUACAGAGCAGCAAUGCUGGGGAUAAAGGGGUGACCUCAACACUGUGAGUCUCGGGGAGGGGCUUCUAUUCUAGAGGGGGAGACACCCCAAUGAGUAAAAUAAACAUAUAACAUAAAUACACAAAGAAACUAAUUUUUCCAAUGCUAAAGGUCAAGAACAAGCUCAGUGAGAGGAUGCGGUGGAGAGGGCAUGAACAUACAGCCAUUUUGGAAAAGGUGCCCUAAGGAAGUGAAAUUGGGGUUGAGACUUGGGCUGGAGGGGAACCUGCCUCCUACGAUGCCAGAUAUCUGUUGACUGCAUGAGUGAAAAAAGAAAAAGGUUUCCAAACUUGCUUCUCACACAUAACUUCAGUGUGUGUUAGAUGCUCUGGAAGGUAGGGGAGGAGUUCUUGCUAACAUGUAGAUUCUGAUUCUGAAGGCUGGCGUGGAGCCAGAAAGUGGCCUUGGAGCAGCUCUCCUCUCCCACACAGCCUUCCCCCUUAGACAGAGCUGCACCCCGCCCGCAGCCUCACCUGCAUGCAGGUGCUCACCCUGGAUGGCUGCUGGCUCCGCAGGCCCUGACAGGAGGAAGCCCCACAGCCAGGCUCUGGCCCUUGAGGGCCUUCACAACCUAGGGGCUACACCUCCUGCAGGGGCCAGGCAGCCCAGGCCUGGCCUGCAGGGAGGCGAAGCCAGGCACAGGCUCUGCCGUGGAGGCUCCUCUGCUGGUUUGCUCUGUGGAAAUGGGAGGUGGCUCUGGCCUUCCCACCGAGGGGCUUCUGAACCCGUCACCAGGGUGAGGUCAGGGAAUGGUGACCACUCAAUUACCCUACCCAGUCCUGCCCCCUCCUAGGAUUCCCUGAGGCCCUAGUGGCCUUCCAGACACUGCAUCUAUUUUUGAGACCCCCCACCUGCAGGAGGCAGCUGUGGCUCCAGCCUGCUUCUGCAGGUGGGACACAGUUGGGUGAUCUGCCAAGAGAGGGUCCCUGGGUGUGCUGGAAUGGGACAGUGUUGCUGGCCCUGCGAGGGGCACAAGGUCAGCACAGAGCUUCCAGGUCUUCGGAGGACAGGAGCCAGCUCUGCUAUGCUGAGCACCCUUCCCUGUCCAGCACCCAGGAGCGGGGCUGGCACUGCCUCACAGGACUGUGCCCUGUCUCUUGGGGUCCCUGGGGCAGGGGAUGCACCCACCUGGAUCCUGCCCCCUGUCUUUGUAGAGUUCACUGUGGGGCAUCUGGACUCCUGAACCCACCCCCAGGUCUGUUGGGCCUGUCCCUGAUCCAGUCAUUCUCCUGCUCAGCUGAAUGUGAGUGUGCUGGAGCGGGGACACCAACGGAACUUGGACACUUGGGGCUGGUGGAUCUGCACACAUGGGGCACACACGUGUGCAAGGCCUCUCCAGUGCAAUAAAGAGCUGCAGUGAACUUGGAAGGGCUGGGCUGCAGCCUGGCUGUCUGCACUGACCUGUUCUGAUGGCAACUCUGGAAAGUCCUGAGUUCACUCCUGGCCUCCCAGAGACAAGGAAGCUGUCAUCAAGGUAGAAAACUGACAUGUUUUCUCUAACAGUUCAUCACGUUGACUUCUGAGGAGACAGAAGGUACCAGAAUCCCAGGACCCUCCCCAUGGUUCUGAGCAGAGACUGAAUUUCCAUCACCGUGGUCCUUCUUACCUCCAGACUUAACCAUCCACCAGCUGUGGGAGGUGAGGUUGGGGGACUCCAGCCACAGCAUCUCAGGGAGCCUGUUUAACGUGCAGAUUCCAGGGCCACCCGGAGACCGGAUGGCGGCUGGAGGUGGGCCUGGGGAGCUGCGGGUUUUGCCAGACUGGUGACUCAGAAGCGUGCCAACCACAGCUCUGGGAGAGGCGUGGGUGCUGACCGUGGAAAAGAAGACGGGGCUCUGUGUUUGAACAUUGCUGGAGAGCACAGACCGGAAGUUUCCUGCUUCUCCAAAUGUAGGUAUGGGAACACCAGGUCCCAUAUUUGUAGGGAACUCCCUUUCCCAACAGCACAUGAGGGAGAAUCUACACUUAUUGGGUCCACCUCUAGAAACCACUCACAUUCUUCAUGCGUCCUGCAAUUCUCUGAAGCCCCCAGGGCACCAUGGAAGGGAGCCUGAGCCUGCCACCAGCCUGUGACUAGGGGCUUCUUCCAUUGAGGCACAGGGGCAAUACAGGUGACUUAAAUUAUCUGACUCUAAGAAAUAAACGUCAAUGUAAAGCAUCAAUUCACCUUCCUGGUCACAAAGAGAAUGCAAAUGGAUUAGGAAAUUUCUUGUUGCGUGGGCUAAUGGCUUUGGAGGGCAGAGGUGUCAAACAGGUGUUGUUCAAACAGCUCAGUGAACCUGAGAUCUGCCACAGGGUGAAAGGGGACCUCGUCAAGAUCCAUUUUCUGUUCUCUGCUGCCCUCUGCUGUCCAGUGCUGGCGGAAACACCUGGGCACAAAGCAUAGUCCAAGGCAUCACUCAGGUUCUAGGAGGUUUCAUACACACCUUAUGAGACAGGUGGUCCUGUGGCUGGGGGUAGGGGUGGGAAGGAGGCCUCCAGCCCCACCUUUCCAGGGGAAUUGCAGGCAGAACUUGGAUAAAAGACUUCACAGAGCUCGGGGGAUGUGUGGCUGAGACUUUUUACAACUAGAACAAGCAUGACUUUUAAUUUUUUAUUAUGGAACAUAAUAAAACAUAGUUAACAUUUGCAAAAUAUAGGACAUA